rnacentral:rRNA from 1 species
AACGAACGCUGGCGGCAUGCUUAACACAUGCAAGUUGAACGCAGAAUAGAGCUUCGGCUCUACUGCUGAGUAGCAAACGGGUGAGUAACGCGUGGGAAUCUGCCUUCUUGUGGGGGAUAACUAAGGGAAACUUUAGCUAAUACCGCAUACGCUCUACGGAGGAAAGGCUUCGGCCGCAAGAAGAGGAGCCCGCGUCAGAUUAGGUAGUUGGUAGGGUAAAGGCCUACCAAGCCAAUGAUCUGUAGCUGGUCUGAGAGGAUGAUCAGCCACACUGGGACUGAGACACGGCCCAGACUCCUACGGGAGGCAGCAGUGGGGAAUAUUGGACAAUGGGGGAAACCCGUGAUCCAGCAAUGCCGCGUGAAUGAAGAAGGCCUUAGGGUUGUAAAGUUCUUUCACCUGUGAAGAUAAUGACGGUAGCAGGAGA